CUCUGAACCUGCGGGAGGACU
rnacentral:miRNA from 1 species